CUCUUAUCGCGAGAGGUGGAGGGACUGGCCCGAUGAAACCCAGCAACCACUAAGUCAUAUGUUGACCUAGAAGGUGCUAAUUCCUGCAAAGCAUGAGCUUUGGUAGAUGAGAG
rnacentral:ncRNA from 2 species